rnacentral:rRNA from 1 species
UACGUAGGGUGCGAGCGUUGUCCGGAAUUAUUGGGCGUAAAGGGCUCGUAGGCGGUUUGUCGCGUCGGGAGUGAAAUCCACUGGCUUAACUGGUGGCUUGCUUUCGAUACGGGCAGACUGGAGGUAUGCAGGGGAGAACGGAAUUCCUGGUGUAGCGGUGAAAUGCGUUGAUAUCAUCAGGAACACCGGAGGCGAAGGCGGCUCACUGGGGGUCUUCUGACGCUGAGGAACGAAAGCCAGGGGAGCGAACGGG